UUGGUCAAGGGGCGGGACAGCUUUAACCUGAGUAAAUAUUUUCAUCAAUGUUACUCAAAAUUCAUCAAAGUUGCUCAAUUGCUCGAUAAUUCCAUUUCUAUAAAAAUCUUGCUAGGCAAAUCCAAGUUAAAAUAAGGUGGGAAUAGCAAAAUUGAAUUCCUCAAAAAGUCAUCAAAGUUACUCACGUUUGCUCAGAAUGCAUCAGACGCAAACUGUUUGCGUGCGGCGUCAUCAAGUUGCGUCUGUGCUAGCACAAGAUCGCUGUAGUAUGUAGUGGAAAUUUUGAUGUUAAAUUUUGAUCGUAAACAAAACAACAAAUAGGAAUCUCUCCUAUCCCGUCUUGUACUGCCUGGUUCAAAUCACCAUCCGGCGGUUCAUCCUUAGUGCACAAAAAAGAACGCGCCGCGACCUGGAAUCUGUCGAACCACAUCCAACCCAUCCAACACCCUCAAAAUCUACUCCGAAUCUGUCCAGGUGGAUCGCAACUCAUCGUUCAAUUACUUCCGAAGUGUAUGUAAAAUCUUUCGAACUGCAGGUGGAUACCUACCGGACCUACGUCGCCUCGAAUCGGUAACUGUGAUCCUUCGAAAAGACCCUCUGGACGAUGCUUGGCAGCAGUACGAACACUUUUCCGCCUUCGACCGCUGUUAGUACGAAAAGACUUACACUCUCCUCAUCCAAUUGUUCGAUGAAACGUCCGCUAUCGGGAAAAAAUAUUCAACAUCCCCGAAGGUAGUCCAUUGUUUUGAACUGAAAGUACGCCACCGUAUCCAUGAAAGAGGGAACCAUUCCGCUUUGAGGAAACCGCUGGAGUCGGUAAUGCUUUCGUCGAAUUUCACGAGCGAACCGGCCAAAACCAAUAUGAUAAACAAAUACAGCUUCAGUUUGUCGCACGCGGAAUGCUGUUUGGCCUUCGUUGGUUACAUUCCGGAUAUGGAGAACGAUUCUCAAUUCCGACGGACCCAACGAAUCUUGCGAUGAAGGUGGAAUCGCUGGAGGCACUGUCCUGGAAUCGGAGAACGAACAUUCCGUUCACACAGAAGCGGAAAACACGAAAUUCCAGCAGCGGAACCGCUUCAGCGACCAGUACAUCCAUUUCAAGGUUCGUGGUGGUUUGGACGGAAGCGGAAGUAUCGGGGAUCUAGACGAGAGCUACUCAGUGCAUCACAGUGAUUUGGAAGAGAUCACUACUAGCAGAUACCAUCAACAGGAUUCGGAGAUACGUUUGUUAACGAAGAAGCUGAACCGAAUCCAGGUUCCGUUGUGCAUCUAAGAAGUGGAAAGCGCCAUCAGUAUAUAGUUUGAGGAUGCCGUGGUCAGACAGCCGGAAUACCCAGAACGGACGAAAUCCGUAUAGUACUCCUGGAACGUGACUUGCAGUGAAAGUAGUUCUAGCAAAGAUGUGGAGGAAAAAGAAGAUGGAAAAGAAGAAAUGGGUGGUGCAGGGGUUCGAAUGUGACCUAUUUUUCUUUUUUUAAAUAAAUAUUAUUUAGCGCGCUACCAAACUGAUUACUUUCAAACUGAUUACAUUGAAGAAAAACUAAAAAAUAACUCAAAGCAAAAGUGACCUCUUCUAAAUUAGAUUGUGCGAGAGCAUUGUGUGAACCAAUCGUAACGACAAAUUGUGAUUACUUUGAAACUAACUAUCAAAUAAUUGGCAGCAAAAGUGACAUGUUUAAAGCAGAAGCAUGUCACCUAACAAUUUGAGAGGACUUGGUGAACCAUUCGUAACGACAAUUUUCGAUUACUUGUAAGAGUAUAUCACAUACUAUGAAAUAGUUUAAAGCAAAAGUGACCUUUUCUGAAGUAGAAGCAUUGUGCGACACCUAAACAUUUGAGAGGACUUGGUGAACCAUUCGUAACGAUAACUUUGGACUACAUUGAAGCAUAUAUCUCAAACUAUUAAAUAGUUGAACGCAAAAGUUACCUUUUCUGAAGUAGAAGCAUUGUGCGUCACCUAAAAAUUUGAGAGGACUUGGUGAACCAUUCAUAACGACAAUUUCCGAUUACUUUGAAGCGCAUGUCACAAACUAUCAAAUAGUUCAAAGCAAAAGCGACCUAUUCUGAAGUAGAAGCAUUCACCCUCAUUCUUGUUUUCGAUCGAAUCCACUUUCGAACGAAAAUCGUCCGCAUUCCCGUUUACGCCAGCAAAAUCAAAUGGGCUACGGAUUCGAACGAACCAAAUACGUUCGAAAGCGGAUACGCCCGUAAACAAGAAUGAGGGUGAUUGUGUGUCACCUAACAAUUUGAGAGGACUUGGUGAACCAUUCGUUUCAAUAAUUUCUGAUUACUUGUAAGAAUUUAUAACAAGCUAUUAAAUAGUUCAAAGCAAAAUUGACCUUUUCUGAAGUAGUAGCAUUGUGCGUCGCCCAACAAUUUGAGAGGACUUGGUGAACCAUUCGUUUCAAUAAUUUCUGAUUACUUGUAAGAAUUUAUAACAAGCUAUUAAAUAGUUCAAAGCAAAAUUGACCUUUUCUGAAGUAGUAGCAUUGUGCGUCGCCCAACAAUUUGAGAGGACUUGGUGAACCAUUCGUAACAACAAUUUCUGAUUACUUGUAAGUGUAUAUCACCGAGCUAUUUGAAAGGACUUGGUGAACCUCCUCAAGGACUAAUUAUUAUAACUUUGACGAAUAUUACU